UACGGGGGGAGCAAGCGUUGUUCGAAUUUACUGGGCGUAAAGGGCGCGUAGGCGGUCGUGACAAGUCACUUGUGAAAUCUCCGGGCUUAACUCGGAACGGUCAAGUGAUACUGUCGGACUAGAGUACAGAAGGGGCAACUGGAAUUCUCGGUGUAGCGGUGAAAUGCGUAGAUAUCGAGAGGAACACCUGCGGCGAAGGCGGGUUGCUGGGCUGAUACUGACGCUGAGGCGCGAAAGCCAGGGGAGCGAACGGG
rnacentral:rRNA from 1 species